rnacentral:rRNA from 1 species
GAUGAACGCUGGCGGCGUGCCUAAUACAUGCAAGUCGUACGGAAAGGCCCUUCGGGGUACUCGAGUGGCGGACGGCUGAGUAACGCGUGGGAACGUGCCCAGCCGUGGGGGAUAACGUAGCGAAAGCUACGCUAAUACCGCAUACGAUCUACGGAUGAAAGCGGGGGAUCGCAAGACCUCGCGCGAUUGGAGCGGCCGAUAUCAGAUUAGGUUGUUGGUGAGGUAAAAGCUCACCAAGCCUGCGAUCUGUAGCUGGUCUGAGAGGACGACCAGCCACACUGGAACUGAGACACGGUCCAGACUCCUACGGGAGGCAGCGGUGGGGAAUUUUGGACAAUGGACGCAAGUCUGAUCCAGCAAUGCCGCGUGCAGGACGAAGGCCUUCGGGUUGUAAACUGCUUUUGUACGGAACGAAACGGUGAGCUCUAAUACAGUUUGCUAAUGACGGUACCGUAAGAAUAAGCACCGGCUAACUACGUGCCAGCAGCCGCGGUAA